rnacentral:rRNA from 1 species
AUUGAACGCUGGCGGCAGGCCUAACACAUGCAAGUCGAACGAGUGGCGGACGGGUGAGUAAUGUCUGGGAAACUGCCUGAUGGAGGGGGAUAACUACUGGAAACGGUAGCUAAUACCGCCUACCAUCGGAUGUGCCCAGAUGGGAUUAGCUAGUAGGUGGGGUAAAGGCUCACCUAGGCGACGAUCCCUAGCUGGUCUGAGAGGAUGACCGGCCAAACUGGAACGGGGACACGGUCCAGACUCCUACGGGAGGCAGCGGUGGGGAAUAUUGCACAAGGGGGGCAAGCCGGAUGCAGCCAUGCCGCGUGGAUGAAGAAGGCCUUCGGGUUUUAAAGUACUUUCAGCGGGGAGGCGUUACCCGCAGAAGAAGCACCGGCUAACUCCGUGCCAGCCGCCGCGGUAAUAC